rnacentral:rRNA from 1 species
CUACACAUGCAAGUCGAGCGGCGAACAGUAAAGGAGCUUGUCUACUCUGCUGUACGAGACGGCGGGACGGGAUGAAGUUAAUGCUUGGGUAACAUGCCUUGCAGGUGGGGGACAACAGUUGGAAACGACUGCUAAUACCGCAUAAUGUCUACGGACCAAAGGGGGCUUCGGCUCUCGCCUUUAGAUUGGCCCAAGUGGGAUUAGCUAGUUGGUGAGGUAAUGGCUCACCAAGGCGACGAUCCCUAGCUGGUUUGAGAGGAUGAUCAGCCACACUGGGACUGAGACACGGCCCAGACUCCUACGGGAGGCAGCAGUGGGGAAUAUUGCACAAUGGGCGCAAGCCUGAUGCAGCCAUGCCGCGUGUGUGAAGAAGGCCUUCGGGUUGUAAAGCACUUUCAGUCAGGAGGAAAGGUUAUAGUUAAUACCUGCUAGCUGUGACGUUACUGACAGAAGAAGCACCGGCUAACUCCGUGCCAGCAGCCGCGGUAAUACGGAGGGUGCGAGCGUUAAUCGGAAUUACUGGGCGUAAAGCGUACGC